rnacentral:lncRNA from 1 species
UUUGAUCCUUCAAUAAAUUUGAGGGUACGUAGGCAUAGAGUUGUAAGACUCUAGCGAGUAUAAUAAUCAAAAACAUUUUUUAGGGAUUCACUUACGAAAAUAAUAAAACAUUUUUAUAUAUAAAUAUAACGAAUAAUUAAACAAUUAAUCAAUAUCAAGCAAACACCCUAAAAACACACAUUAACCCUAUAAUUGAAGGAGGACCCCAU